rnacentral:rRNA from 1 species
GGAAAUCUCACCAGGCCCGGACACUGGAAGGAUUGACAGAUUGAUAGCUCUUUCUUGAUUCGGUGCGUGGUGGUGCAUGGCCGUUCUUAGUUGGUUGAGUGAUUUGUCUUGUUAAUUCCGUUAACGAACGAGACCUUAACCUGCUAAAUAGUGACGCGGUUCAUCGAACCGUGGGCCACUUCUUAGAGGGACUAUCGGAUUCAAACCGAUGGAAGUGUGAGGCAAUAA